CCCGCACAAGCGGCGGAGCAUGCGGAUUAAUUCGAUGCAACGCGAAGAACCUUACCAAGGCUUGACAUAUACGAGAACGGGCCAGAAAUGGUCAACUCUUUGGACACUCGUAAACAGGUGGUGCAUGGUUGUCGUCAGCUCGUGUCGUGAGAUGUUGGGUUAAGUCCCGCAACGAGCGCAACCCUCGUUCUAUGUUGCCAGCACGUAAUGGUGGGAACUCAUGGGAUACUGCCGGGGUCAACUCGGAGGAAGGUGGGGAUGACGUCAAAUCAUCAUGCCCCUUAUGUCUUGGGCUUCACGCAUGCUACAAUGGCCGGUACAAAGGGCUGCAAUACCGCAAGGUGGAGCGAAUCCCAAAAAGCCGGUCCCAGUUCGGAUUGAGGUCUGCAACUCGACCUCAUGAAGUCGGAGUCGCUAGUAAUCGCAGAUCAGCAACGCUGCGGUGAAUACGUUCCCGGGUCUUGUACACACCGCCCGUCAAGUCAUGAAAGUCGGUAACACCUGAAGCCGGUGGCCCAACCCUUGUGGAGGGAGCCGUCGAAGGUGGGAUCGGUAAUUAGGACUAAGUCGUAACAAGGUAGCCGUACCGGAAGGUGCGGCUGGAUCACCUCCUUUCUA
rnacentral:rRNA from 1 species